rnacentral:rRNA from 1 species
UUCCGGUUGAUCCUGCCGAAGGCUACUGCUAUUGGAGUUCGAUUAAGCCAUGCGAGUCUAAGGGAUCUUCGGAUCCCUGGCGUAAUGCUCAGUAACACGUGGAUAAUCUACCCUCAGGUGGGGCAUAAACCCGGGAAACUGGGGCCAAUUCCCCAUAGAUACAGAUGGCUGGAAUGCUUCUGUAUUCAAAGCUCCGGCGCCUGAGGAUGGGUCUGCGGCCUAUCAGGUUGUAGUCAGGGUCAAGACCUGACUAGCCAGCGACGGGUAUGGGGUGUGAGAGCACUUGCCCAGAGAUGGUUUCUGAGACACGAAACCAGGCCCUACGGGGCGCAGCAGGCGCGAAAACUUCGCAAUGCGGGAAACCGUGACGAGGGAACUCCAAGUGUCUAUGCAUUGCAUAGACUGUUUUUUAGCCUAAAUAGCUAUUAGAGUAAGGGGUGGGCAAGACCGGUGCCAGCCGCCGCGGUAACACCGGCACCUCGAGUGGUAGCCACUAUUAUUGGGCCUAAAGCGUUCGUAGCCGGUUUGGUAAAUUCUUGGGUAAAUCGUACCGCUUAACGGUGCGGAUUCCGGGGACACUACCAGACUUGAGACCGGGGGAGAUCAGAGGUACUUGCGGGGGAGCGGUGAAAUGUUGUAAUCCCGCAGGGACCACCAGUGGCGAAGGCGUCUGAUCAGAACGGCUCUGACGGUGAGGAACGAAACCCUGGGGCGCAAACGGGAUUAGAUACCCCGGUAGUCCAGGGCGUAAACGCUGCUGACUUGGUGUUGGGGAUCCUACGAGGAUGUCCAGUGCUGGCGCGAAGGUAUUAAGUCAGCCGCCUGGGGAGUACGGUCGCAAGACUGAAACUUAAAGGAAUUGGCGGGGGAGCACUGCAACGUGUGGAGCGUGCGGUUUAAUUGGAUUCAACGCCGG